rnacentral:rRNA from 1 species
UCGAAGAAAUGUGAUGUACUUUAAGAGGGUGACCAACCUGCCAUAAUCUUUGUUUCUCUCAAUGGCAUAUAAUAUUCGUGGAAACAAAGGUACUCCAUUAACUUAUCGAAAAGAUACCUCUGUGUAGAUUUUUAGAAAUAUUUAGUUAAUACUGAAUAAUAGAAGCGGUGAGCUUCUUCAGUAGCUGUUGGUAGAAUCUUUACGGGUUUGCUGUCCAUAGGCUAAAGGAUUAAUAGUCAGAUUUGUGUAUUGUGAAUGAAAGGUGAAAAGAAUUCCGGAAGGUAGGUGAAAUAGUGGUAAUUUAAUUAAUAGGAUGAAAUCUUACGUUUUUAUAUUAUAUAAGUGGUUGUGGAAGAAAGAAUUGUUGAGUUUAAACUAACAUUGUUUAUUGUUAUUAAAGCCCGAAUACUACCGAUCUAACUAUCAUUAAGGUUUUUCUGCUGGUUGAGUAUACUAAAGAUUGAAAUGUGGAGGGGUGCACACCUGCCAUUCAAUUGAUAGUUGGUGGUUAAAUGUCAUACGAGGUGUGUUAAUAUCUGGGUGUGUUCGAAAGAUGUAAUGGUGUCGAAUAAAUGUAAUUUGCUGGCAUAAGAUUGUUGUGAAAUGAUUUUAAUUAAGAGGGAUUAACUAUAAAUAAGGUUCAAGUGCUCUUAGGAGUAUUAUUAUUGGUCAUUU